CUCCCGACGCCGGAGCGGCCGCGCUGCGCCCCCCGCCCGCGGCCGUGUCGGGGCCGGGCCGCCCUCGGCACCUGUCCCCACCUUUCGCCCCGCCGGGGCCCGAUGGGCGCCCUGCGCUUCCCCCGUCUGCGUGCCCGUCGCCCUCGUGCAGCCGGGGCAGGGGAAGGCGUUCCCUGGCCGUGGGCUUGGGGCCUCGGGCAGGGGCACUCGUGCAGCUGCGGGAAAGCUGGAGUUUAUCUCACCUUGAGCCGUCGUGAGCACAGAGGAGUGAACGCAAAUGCUUACAAGAGAGCAAACCUGCCUUCGUCACUUACAAUGCCACAGGCAUGGAGUCCUGGAGUGAAGCACAGAAAAACAGGAGAGGACCAUCAUCUGAGAAGACGGAAGCAGAAGUUGUUUGUGAUUGCCUGAGAGUUUCUUCAGAUUAACAGCACCAAUUCUUCAUCAUCCUAAGGGAGAACUAACCAUCCCCAGAUGAGCCAGUGGUUCAUCCAUUGGACAUCUUCGACCCAUGUCCUGCGAGAGGGAACAUUCAAUCUCCAGCCAAACCGGCUAAAGCUGGACUUGAAGUAGAAAUUUGUAGAGAUGCAGGGAGCUUAUGCCAGUUGCCUUGUUUUACUUGUUUGCUUGCACUGAGGUGAAUUCCCUGCCAAAUUAAAUAUAGCUUUUUUGUAUGCUUAGGUGUAAGUUGUAGGUCCUUUUCUUUGAAGCAAGCCUUUUGCCUUUUGAACUCAAGGCUGGAUAUAUAUCGAAGCAUUAAUUUCAUAUUACAUUCUUUCUUCCUAAGAAUGUGUAUGGUUUUAGAUAACUGUGUUCCCAGUAAGUAAUUUCUUCCUCUUGGAACUAGAUUUUAUUGGCAUUGAGCUCAUUCCUCCCUGCCAUGGGUCUGAGAGCUACUUGUAGAUAAAAUUAUGGAGGAAUAUUUUUUAAAACUCCAUAUUUUAAAAUGCUUUCUUUGCAAAGUGUUCCUCUUUUGUUUCAGUUUAGAGGGAUUAUUUAAGGGAAAGAAACCUUUAGUGCUGUUUUUGAGUCAGAGAAAAGUAAAAGGGAAUCCCCAAAGCCACUUGUAAAUGUAUGAUUUUAACUUGCCAUUUGAAAAUUCCAGAUGAGUUGAUGUUUGAAAACUACCUCCUCUAAUUCCUGGCAAAAACAAGCCACCCAAAAAUUAAAGCUUCUUGAAUCAAAACAUUUGGACACUGUGUGUCUCACAAUACAAAGAACACAUAGUGAUUAUUUGACCAAAAGUCAUGUUCACUUGUGGAAAUGCUGAGAAUCCCAAGCAGUUUAAUGUAGUAUAAGAGAAGUGCAUCCAUACUGGUUUUUGUUUUUUUUUUUUUAAUGUGCUCAUAAGGUAGUUGAUACUUUUUAAUUCCACCAGAUAAUGAAUCAUGCAACUUACAUCUUCAAUUCAAUUCCUUCUGAUUUGUCACUUGAGGGCUGUGGUUAACUUUCUAUCUUACUGCUGCUCAAAGCAGUACAGUUUUAUUUUAAGAGUAUUAUGUUUUACCUCCUCAUGUGUACUGGAAUGUGCUGGGCAAGUGUUAACCAAGCUGAUGCUUUCUUGAGUUCCAUAUUUUAAAAUCACUAAACUUACUUAAUAAACUGUUAGACAAUGUUUUAGGUUUGUCUCUC
rnacentral:lncRNA from 1 species